rnacentral:rRNA from 1 species
GAUGAACGCUAGCGACAGGCCUAACACAUGCAAGUCGAGGGGCAGCACAAGGAGCAAUCUGAGGUGGCGACCGGCGCACGGGUGAGUAACACGUAUGCAACCUGCCUGUAAGCGGGGGAUAACCCGUUGAAAAACGGACUAAUACCCUAUAAUACAGGGGUCCCGCAUGGGGAUAUUUGUUAAAGAUUGAUCGGUUGAAGAUGGGCAUGCGUUCCAUUAGCUAGUUGGCGGGGUAACGGCCCACCAAGGCAACGAUGGAUAGGGGAACUGAGAGGUUUAUCCCCCACACUGGUACUGAGACACGGACCAGACUCCUACGGGAGGCAGCAGUGAGGAAUAUUGGUCAAUGGACGCAAGUCUGAACCAGCCACGUCGCGUGAAGGAAGACGGCCCCUACGGGUUUGUAAACUUCUUUUUAUACGGGGAAUAAAGUGCCCCCACGCGUGGGGUUUUGCAUGUACCGUAUGAAUAAGGAUCGGCUAACU